rnacentral:rRNA from 1 species
AGCAAACGCUGGCGGCGUGCCUAAUACAUGCAAGUCGAACGGGGAAGUACCUUCGGGUAUUGUACUAGUGGCGGACGGGUGAGUAACACGUGGGUAAUCUGCCCUCGAGCGGGGAAUAACCAGUCGAAAGAUUGGCUAAUACCGCAUAAGACCACAAUCUCUGCGGAGAAAGGGGUCAAAGGCUUCGGCCACUCGAGGAUGAGCCUGCGCCCGAUUAGUUAGUUGGUGAGGUAAUGGCUCACCAAGACGAUGAUCGGUAGCUGGUCUGAGAGGAUGAUCAGCCACAUUGGGACUGAGACACGGCCCAAACUCCUACGGGAGGCAGCAGUAGGGAAUAUUGCGCAAUGGAGGAAACUCUGACGCAGCGACGCCGCGUGAGUGAUGAAGGCUUUCGGGUUGUAAAGCUCUGUUCUCAGGGAAAAAGAAAGUGAUGGUACCUGAGAAGAAAGGACCGGCUAACUUCGUGCCAGCCGCCGCCGUAA